AAGAAUUUUUCGUCCGUAGGCCCGAUGUUCACCAAUUAUGGGCUACUCAUCACGUUGAGCAUCCACUGUAGUGGUUAUCGGUCCAAUCCACUAGAAAUAACCAGUAACAGUUUCAAUACAAGGUUAUAGAAUCAAGAAUCACACAGAUCUGCCCUCAGACUUUCCUUUAUCUCGAAAAACCUAACCUUAGAAACGAUUACACCAAGUAACCCUAACCAAACUGCUCAACAAGAGCAGAAAUCAAAAUCUCACAGUUUAGGCACUCUAGAUCUCAUCAAGGAUAUCUAGAUUACAAAAGUUAUCAGAAAAAUCAGAGGAUUUCAGAGAGAGACGAAGAUGAAGAAGAGAGAAAAUCCUAGAAAUCUCUCAAAAUAUCUGAUUGCACUACCCAACGAAGAGUCACAGGGAGUAUAUAUAUCAGCAUGCAUCCAGCGGUUAUAAAGGCUCCACGUGUUAUGAUCUAGAGCAUCCAAUUUGAGAAAAUGCGUUUAAUAAUAGAAAACACGCCUUUGUCCAAUUUAAACAACCGGGUCACAUUCUUUAAUUGAUCCAUAACUGGGCUGCAUCAUUGAGCCUCCAAAAAAUGUCAAGCAUCAUUUUUAACAAUCUCCACCUUGAUUAACAAUUUUUGGAUUUCGUUUGUGAAUUGGAGGUUAAAACUUCCUUUUGGUUUCAUUCGCUCUAUGUACCUGCAAAAGAACUUUAAUUAGUGACAACAUUUAGGAGAUUUAAACAAUCCCUAAAUUUGUGUAAAGGAAGUAUUUUAGUUCCCAUAUCAGCUGGAUUACACUUAGUUGAAACCUUCUCAAUUUUUAUGAUUUCCUUUUCUAUGAUAUCCCUUAUGAAAUGAAAUUUCACAUCUAUAUGUUUAGUUUUAUCAUGAAAAAUUGUGUUUCUACUAAGGUGUAUAGCUAAUUGGCUAUCUGAAAAUACAGUAGCAUCAUUUUUAGAAAAUCCAAUUUCAUUUAACAAACUUUUUAACCAAAUCCCGACCUUUACAGCAUCUGUAGCUGCAAUAUACUCAUCUUUUGUUGAUGAUAGAGCUACCAGUUUUUGCAACUGAGACUUCCAACUUAUGCAUGUAUCAUUUAAAGUAAAGACAUAUGUAGAUGUUGACUUCCUUUUGUCACAAUUUUCAGCAAAAUUAGAGUCAACAAAGCCUUAAAGUUUUAUUUCUAUUUUUCCUUUUCUAAACAUUAGCCCUAAAUGUGAUGUCCCUUUUAAAUACCUUAAUAACCAUUUCAUGGCUUUUCAAUGACAUUCACCUAGAUUAUUCAUGUAUCUACUUAAGACACUAAUUGCAAAUGCAAGAUCAGGUCUGGUACAGAUCAUGACAAACAUAAAUGAGCCAACAACAUUUGCAUAAUGAACAUUUUCCAUCUUAUUUCUUUCCAUUUCAGUUUUAGGGCACUGUUCUACAUAAAAUUUAAAAUGACCACCUAAAGUUAACGUGACUUCUUUAGCUUCAAUCAAAGAAAAUCUGCAUAAUAUCUUUGAAAUAUAUAAUUGUUGAGUGAGAAACAAACUAUGAUCAAAUCAAUUUCUCCUAAUCUCCAUUUCUAAAAUUCUUUUUGCAGGAUCUAGAUCUUUCAUUUCAAAUUCCUAUUUUAAUUUUUGCUUAAUGUUUUUAAUCUCAGUUAUAUCGCACCCAGCCAACAACAUAUCAUCAACAUAUAACAAAAGAUAACAUGAAUCAGGGCCCCCAUUUCCUUUAUAGUAAAAACAAGGAUCAUAUUCACUUCUAUUAAAAUCAAGUCCUUUAAUAAAAGUAUCAAACCUGAUAUACCAUUGCCUGGGGGCUUGUUUCAAGCCAUAGAGAGAUUUCUGUAAGAGACACACACAGUUUUCUUUUCCUUUCUGUUCAAAACCUUUUGGUUGAGUCAUAUAAAUCUUUUCAUUCAAAUUUCCAUAAAGAAAAGCAAUUUUCACAUCUAAUUGUUCCAAUUCAAAAUCAAAACGUGAAACAAGAACAAGUAGAAGUCUUAUGGAAGUAUAUUUGACUACUGGAGAAAAGAUUUCAUUGUAGUCAAUACCUUCUCUUUGGUUAAAACCUUUAGCAACUAAUCUGGCCUUGAAUAUAAAAUUUCCCUCUUUCUGAUCAACUUCUUUUAUUUUAUAAACCCAUUUGCAGUCAAUGAUCUUCUUCCCUUUAGGUUUAUUUACUAAAAUCUAAGUUUUAUUGUUAGUCAAUGAGAGCAUUUCAUCUUCCAUGGCUGAAAGCCAAUGUUUUGAAUAUUUCCUUUAAUGGCCUCUUCAUAUAUCUCAAGCUCAUUGUCUAAAAGAUGUUGCACACUAGCUGCAGUAUUAAAAUCAAGUUCUCUAUACCUUAAGGGUGGUAUGAUUUUCCUUCUUUCUCUAUCUCUAGCAAAAUGAUAAUCUUCUAAAGGGUUUAACUGUCGGUCAGGUUCACGAGCAAGUUCAGUAACCUGUUCUUGAGCAUGCUCCACCUCAAACUGAUCUUCAUUUUCAAAGUUUGAAUUUAUAUGAAUUAUAUCAGAUUGCAAAAAUGUCUAUCUUGAUCACUUUCAGUUCCCUUUUUCUUUAAUACAGGAAAGAUCCAUUUCAUUGAAGAUAAUAUUUGUGCUGAUUAUUACUCUAUACCCUCACUAAUCCUUUAACCAAAUUUUAUAACCUUUAACACGUUCACCAUAUCCAAGGAAAAUGCCUUUAAUUGACCUAGGUUCUAACUUUCCUUCAUUUUGGUGUACAUAUGCUGCACAACCAAAGGCCUUUAGUUUGGAGUAGUCAAUAGUGUGACUAUUCCAAACAUGGUCAGGUGUGUUAUAGUCCAGUGAUUUUGUAGGGCAUUUAUUUAUUAAAAAUGAGGCAGUUUUAACAGCUUCCCCCCUGAACAGUUUUGGAAGACCUGCACUUAUUAACAUGCAUCUGACUCUCUCUAAAAGGGUUCUAUUCAUCAUUUCUGCUAACACAUUCUAUUGAGGAGUGUAGGUGACAGUCCUAUGUCUAAGGAUUCCAUUAUCCUUACAAAAGUUAUCAAAUUCUUCAUUACAGAAUUUAAGGUCAUUAUCAGUCCUAAGGGCUUUAACAUUCCUAUUUACUUGAUUUUCAAUACAUGUGUUUCCAAUUAAUAAAACUUUGAAAGGUAUUAGAUUUAUUUUUCAAAAGAAUGACCCAAUUCUUUCUUGAAAAAUCAUCAACAAUCAGGAAAUAGUAUUUGAAACCAGAGUAUGUGCUCACAGGAGAUGGUCCCCACAGAUCAGCAUGCAAAUAAUCAAGAAUAUAUUUAGAUUUAUGAAUACCAGAAGCAAAUGGCAACUUUCUUUACUUUCCAUAUAAACAGUGUUCACAAAAGGACACUUUUUCAGCCUUAUCAUUUCCUAGGUAACCUUGUUUCUUAAGGACAAGCAAGUUUUUAUCACUUAUGUGUCCCAACCUUUUAUGCCAUAUUUCAGAUUUGUCAGACAGAGAUAUAGUUGCAGCAAUGUUUUGAUUCUUUUGAUAUGUAGCUUCCAAAACAUAUAUUCCAUUUGAUUUUUCUACCUAAUUACCUCAGCAAAUUUUCUUUGAAGUGAUAGAACACCUUUGGCUAUGAUUGUGUUAAAACCUUCAUCAUCAAGUGUACCCAAAGAGAUUAAAUUCCUCUUUAAAUUAGAAAGAUACCUUGUUUUAUUUUGAGUUAGCAAAUUUCCAUUUUUUAGCUUUAACAUAAUCUUUCCAAUUCCUUUAAUUUUGCAAGGAAAAUCAUUUCUCAUAGUUACUUGUCCCCCAUUAGUUUCAUAAAGUUCAAUAAAACAUUUUUUGUGAGGUGACAUAUGAAAAGUACACCCAGAAUCAAGUAUCCAGUCAUUUUUAUUGGGGUUUGACAGGUCACAUAGACUUGUCCAUUUGAGGCUGCAGCUCUUUCAUAAGCUAUAGCAGCUCCAACUUCAACUUUAUUUGUAUUUUUCAGUACCUCAAUCCUUUUUAUACAAUCUCUAAUAUAGUUACCCUCUUUUCCACAAAAAUAACAUUUCCUACCUUUGGCCUUGUUAUUAUUCUUUAUAAAUUUUGAUUUGCCAUUUUGAAAAUAUGUAGAGAAAUCUUUUGUUUUUCCAAAAAUUUUAUUCAAGUAAUGAUUAUUAUUAUUCUUCUUUAAGGCAUUGUUACCCUUAACAUUGUAUCCUACUCUAGUUAUGGAGGUUUUAGAUUCACUUUUAAACUCCAGAUCUUUAUUCCUUAAAGAAGUAGUAAUAAUAUCAAUAGUUACAUAAGUUCUACCAUAUUCAAGGGCAUGUUUCACUUCUUUGUAUUUAUCAGAUAAAGAAGAUAACAGAGCCACAGAUUUUUGGUCAUUAGAUAAAGUCUCACCACUAUUGGUGAUAUCUUAAGAUAGUUUAUUAAACCUAUCAAGAUUCAUCUCAAGAUCACUAUUAGGAUCAAAUUUGAAACUGAAAAAUUGUUUCCACAAGUAACAUUUAUUGGGAAGUGUUUUAGUUUGAUAGAAUGACUCAAGUUUUGUCCAAAUUUCAACUGCAGUGGUGGUUUUCCCUACCUCCCUAAUUACACUGUCUGAGAGAUGCAAGAAAAUAGUGCUCCAUGCAAUUUCAUCUUGUUCAUUUCUUCAAUUUUCAGUGACCUCUUCACCCCAAGAUUCAUCAAUGACUUUAACACAUCUUUGUUGCAUUAAAAGAGCUUUCAUCUUUUGACUCCAGAGACUAUAGUCUCCUUUGCUGUUCCAAAUUUCAAUGUCAACUUUUGUACUUGUCAUAGUUUUUGAAGAUCUCAUUAUUUUUGAAAAAAUAGUGGAAAGUUAAAGUACAUUGUGGAGAAAUAAUCCUUAUACGCACAAAGUGUAAACACACAAAGUGUUGGUGUGCAGAUAUUGCUCACAAAGAGGCACAAUAUGUAUAACAGAGAAUGUAGGUAAUCAAAUAAACCCUCAAUAAAAAAUAAAAAAUAAAUAAAAAAAAAAACCAAAAACAGAUACCUUCAAAAAAAAUAAAUUUUAACAGCUAUGAUUGAAGAAACCGUUAAAUCCAAUCCCCAAAGAUUCUAGGGUUCUCGCAUGAAACCCUAAAUAGAAGAAGAUCCAGGUGGGUUUCAACUAAGAAGAUUAAAAUAUAUCACUAGAAAUGAAGAUUAAUGAGAGUUUUAGGGUUAGAAGCUUGUUACCAACACAUCUCAAGCCAAAAAUGUAAAAUAGUGAAUACCAAACUAUUUUGCUUCUCCAUUGAAAGUCGGCGAUCAAGAACCCUAGAAAAACACAAUCGAAGGUUCUGACCGUCAAGAACGCCACAAAGUACCAGAUCGAAGAUUAAGCUCAGAUCGAAUGCUCUGAUUCCACUGUUGGUAUAUUUUUUAGUCCCAAACAUUCACAACAAAGAGUAACUAGAAAUAUUAACAAGAAACACCAAGAAUUUUUCGCCCGUAAGCCCGAAUGUUCACCCAAAAUGGGCUACUUACCACGUUGAGCAUCAACCGUAGUGGUUAUCGCUUCAAUCCACUAAAAAUAACCAGUAAAAGUUUCAAUACAAGGUUACAGAACCAAAAAUCACACAGAUCUACCCUCAGACUUCCCUUUAUAUCAAAAAACCUAACCUUAGAAAUGAUUACACCAAGUAACCCUAACCAAGCUGUUUAACAAGAGCAGAAAUUAAAACCUCACAGUUUAGGCACUCUAGAUCUCACCAAGAAUAUCUAGAUUACAAAAGUUAUUAGAAAAAUCACAGAUUUUCAGAGAGAAAGACGAAGACGAAGAAGAGAGAAAACCCUAGAAAUCUCUCAAAAUAUCUGAUUGCACUGCCCAACGAAAAGUCACAGAGAGUAUAUAUAUCAGCAUGCAUGCAGCGGUUGUAAAGGCUCCACGUGUUAUGAUCUAAACCAUCCAAUUUGAGAAAACGUGUUUAAUAAAAGAAAACGUGCCUUUGUCCAAUUUAAACAAAAGGAUCACAUUCUUUAAUUUAUCCAAAACUGGGUUGCAUCAUUGAGCCUCCAAAAAAUGUCAAGCACCAUUUUUAACAAUUUGCAUUUGUAUUCAAGUCACAAUUUUUCUGAGUUGAUUGAAUAUGGAAGAGAAAGAUAAUGUUCCUCCAAUCACAUCAGACUAGGCACAUUUGAACCCACGUCCAGGAUGAAAUGUACACCAAAGCCAAUCCAUUUUUCCAUAUUAAGGGGGAGAAACGAAGUCACAAAAAUAUUCAUGUCAUAUCACAUUGAGUAUAAACGAUGGAGGCGACAACUACAAUUUAAAUAAUUAAAGCAUGUAGAGCUAUAUUAGAGGUAAUUAAUUCGGUCAGAAUCCAAUUUUAUUCGAGUACACUAAUAAUCAUGUGAGUCAAAACAAAAAAUUCUUAUUGGAUGAGGCGAUAAUCUCCAAUGAUUCUCGCAAAAGAGGAUAGCAUAAAGAGCCUGUCAAUUGAAUGGUAAGAGCUUCUCUAAAAGACUUUCUAUAAAUAUAAAAUGCUUUUUAUUUUAAGGAGCUAAUGCUUAAAAAUAAAAUAAAUAAAUAAAUAUAAACUUCAAGAGAUUCUAUUUUAAUUAAUUUUUUUUUUUUUAAAAAUUGAGAGUGAGUUUGACUCUUCAAAUUUAGAUUGACUAUCCAUUAAAAUAUAAAAAAGUAUGUUAAAAAAUAUGAGGAGAAAUCAACAAAUAUUUUUUGAGAAAAGUAACAUAAACAGUCAAUAUAGAGAGCAUUAUUGGAAUGCAUAAAAAUUUUGAUUAUCUAAAUUCAAAGAUGGUUUCUAUAAUUUUGAGUCGAUACCAUAACUAAAUUUAUAGGAAAAGAGAACUAUGAAUAAAGGAACCAAGCAAAGUGUACGAUGAAAGUGGUUUAGUUGAAACAAAAAAGAGCAAAGCUCGACAUACCUAUCUUAGCAACGAGGGUAAGAUGAAAAGAUUCACGAAUUCCCUUGUGUCUUGGAUUUAGCAUUCUCACUCUUUCAAUGCCACUUCCUUGGACCUUCACACAACACAUGCACAUAAGAUAAGACUAUAAAGUUAUUAUGGCCUAAAUAAAUUGUAGGAUCAACACAUAAUUAAACUCCCUAUGUGCUAAUGGAAAAAUAAUAACUCACGAUUCCCAUCAUAAUCUUUAUUUCCAAAUUGCGUCAAAGAUAUAUAUGAAUCGAGUAAGCUCCCUAUGUGUUAACGAGCUUCUCAUCUCUUUAUUAUGAUAGUUCGAAAUACAUGUUUUUUUUAAAUACAUUACUCAAAUUACAUAUUUAACACCAUUUCUUACCAUUCCCUCCAUAUUCUUUGUUUCCAAAUUGAGUCAUAUUAAUAUGUGAAUAGAAUAAAUUCCCUAUGUGUGGAUGAACUUCUCAUCAUUUUAAUGCUUCUCUGUAAAGAAGAAUUAAACUUUGAUCAAAAUCACUUUGCUUUAACCACUAACUCCACUUUGUGGACUCAAUGGUAAAGCUAAAAUAAGUACUAUUUUAAAUAGUAAUAAUGUCGCAUCGUGUUGAAGAUGAGUUGUUAUACAGAAAAAGGAAAAAUGAUUGUGUCCUUUGUUAAGAAAAUGGUUAAAAGUUGAACAAUAAUAAUAAGCAAAUAAAGUAUUAAAUAAUAAUAUUAUUCCCAAUUUAAAAUUUAAACUUUUAAAAAUCUUACAAAAACAUCAAUCAACAUCUUGCUCUUAUUACUAUACACGUUUUGUUUCCUAGAGGCAAUAAGCCUCUAAUGGGCCCAUACAAAAUUAUAUUGGGCCAACAAAAUAUCCUCUAAAUCGUGCUUAACAAAUGAUUUUGUUUUGAGUAUGGGCCACAAACUUUAUUCUUUAGUUCAAAACUCACACGCGGAAAAAACGUGGUAGUUAACCGCCAUAUUGCGACUUAGAGACGCAAAAACAGAUUCUUUGUAACUGAACAUUUUUUUUCCAACGCACACAUGAUACUUAGACGGCCCACAAUUUACGCGCGUGCACGUUGUCUUGCACUUGUACUUUACUUUUUUAAUCAGAUAUGCAAUAUAUACGAAAAUUGGCGGUCAAAAUUGAUACAGAUGACACUUGACAGUAAUCUAUCGAUUAAUGGCAAAUAAAGGUAGCAUCUGGUGCAAAUUUGGCAUGCAGCAAUUCCUCUGUAAAAGAGGAAUUGUUGUUUUUUAAUUCUAAAAUAUUUUUAGAUUACAUGCCUGUCACUAGGCUCCCUCACCGUCCACCUGCGUCUUGUUUACUCUAAUGGCUCGUUUGGUUAUUUAUGAUUUGGCUUUGCCAAAAUUACUGAUCCACAAGACCAUAAUUGUUUAUUAGUAAUUGUUCGUGUUGUAUUAUAAGAACUUUUUAGCAUGUUGGAAUCAUGGUUGACAUGAAAGGAAGAUAGACGUAUAUCAAGGAAAAAAAUCACUCAUUGAUAUAAAAAAAAAAAAAAAAAGUAGUGAUGCUACCGAAAAAUUUGUACCUUGUUCAACCUGAGCAAGUCGCAGUUCAAGGAUGAGGAUGACGGCUAACAAGCACUCAUUUCGAUUGGAUUGACCUUGAAAAUGGUCAAAAACUAUUUCGAAUAGCUCUCCUCAGUACUUAGCUAACUCGAGGUAGGUCGAAGGUCGAUGUAAGUACUAUACCAAAACUGUCUUUUGCAACGCUAGAAAGACGUUGUCGUAGACCUUUUACAGUGUUCAGGUGUAUGUUGCAAAUCUCGAUGUUGCCAUAGAGGAGAAGGUUACAACAAUGUUUUUUGAAUGUUGCGAAUAACCUUUUUACAGUAUUCUUUGAACGUUGCUAAUAACCUUUUUUCAACGUUUUAUGAACAUUGCGAAUAACUUUUUGUAGCGUUCUUUGACUGUUGCGAACAAUCUUUUUACAGCCUUCGCUGAAUUUUUCGAAUAACCUUUUUGCAGUGUUCUUCGAACGUUGCUAAUAACCUUUUUGCAAUGUUCUAUGAAGGUUACUAAUAAACUUUUUGAAAUGUUUUAUGUCUAUUGCCUAUACUUAUAUCUUUAGUUUUUGUAACAUAUUUUGACCGUUGACGCGGGUCUCUCUCUCUCUCUCCCUUUUUUUUUUUUUUGAUAAUGUUGGUUUUUUUAAAAGAGUACACCUUGCAAUCACCACAUUCAACGCUAAUAUUCUUUACUUCUACGACUUAUAAUAAAUUAUGGAGAAUUAAAAAAAAAAAAAAAGCUGAUUAAUGUAUGCAGAGUUCUUUUGAUUUCAUUAUAAAGACCAAACAAAUCAUAGUUCUUGAUUUAUCAUUAAAAUGGCCUCACUAAAAUGAUUUUCAUUGAAGCUAGCAUAUUAUAUUGAUGUAAAAAAGAUUUUUUGAUCAGUAGAGUUAAAUCUUCAUUCUAGUAUCUCUACUAACGAUUGAGUUCGGUCCCUUAUGCUUUUCAAUAAUUAGGAAAGUUAACUGCAUACUUGAUAAGUAAUACCAAGUUUCUAAGGUAUGAAGAUCAUAGACAAAGUUUAUAGAAAGUUAGCUAACACUUUCUACAAAUUUGGCAUGGGUCACUUAACAAAACGUCUACCUGCCGACCCACCACCAAAAAUAAAUACAAUGAAAAGAGAGAGAAAUAGAAAUAUGGAGAGAGAAAUCUAUAAUGCCUUUAAAACCCCUCACCAGCAGAUGUGGAAAAAAUCUAUUCAAACUAACAACAUGGAAAACAGGCGAACAAAUUGGAAUACUCAAAUAAAAUUUGCUAAAAAUUUUAGAGAUACCAAAAAAAAAAAAAUCACAUAAAGGAUGUAGUGGAUUGACAAAUCGUGGGUUCAUUGCACUAUAGAAACAUAAAAUAUGAUGUAAAUUGCAAAAUCAAUUAUCACGCAUAGCACUUACCCAUUUGAUAUCCCCGGUCAGUCUCGAGUCAUAAAAAGAAACUUUUGCAACAUGGUUAGCAUGGACUAUGAGACCUAUAUCAGCACUGCCAUGGGCAUUUUUUGUCCCUUCCCCUUUUUGAGGAUAGUUUAGGUAAGUAAAUAGCUCCUUUGAACAUUCAUUCGCCCCUUUCGUGACAGUAGAAGUCUUUAAACAACUUAACACACAGAAUACAUGAUGGACCACGAAGAUCUAAUAGAGCCCCUAGGAAAAAUCC
rnacentral:lncRNA from 1 species